rnacentral:rRNA from 1 species
AGGACGAACGCUGGCGGCGUGCUUAACACAUGCAAGUGGAGCGACGAACCAGGGCUUGCCCUGGGGCAGAGCCGCGAACGGGUGAGUAACACGUGGGUUACCUGCCUUGAUGACCGGGACAACCCGAGGAAACUCGGGCUAAUACCGGAUGUGCCCGCAAGGGGAAAGGAAGCUUCGGCCUCCGCAUCAAGAUGGGCCCGCGGCCCAUUAGCUUGUUGGUGAGGUAACGGCUCACCAAGGCUUCGAUGGGUAGCUGGUCUGAGAGGACGAUCAGCCACACUGGGACUGAGACACGGCCCAGACUCCUACGGGAGGCAGCAGUGGGGAAUCUUGCGCAAUGGGCGAAAGCCUGACGCAGCAACGCCGCGUGAGGGAUGAAGGUCUUCGGGUUGUAAACCUCUUUCGAGCAGGGACGAUUGUGACGGUACCUGCAGAAGAGCUCCGGCCAACUACGUGCCAGCAGCCGC